rnacentral:rRNA from 1 species
AGGUAGCGAAAUUCCUUGUCAGGUAAGUUCUGACCCGCACGAAUGGCGUAAUGAUUUGGGCACUGUCUCGACAGCCCGCCCGGCGAAAUUGUAGUACUGGUGAAGAUGCCAGUUACCCGCAACUAGACGGAAAGACCCCAUGGAGCUUUACUGCAGUUUAAUACUGGGAAUCGGUAAUUCAUGUACAGGAUAGGUGGGAGACUGAGAAGCAUGGCCGUCAGGUCGUGUGGAGUCACCGGUGGGAUACCACUCUUGGAUUGCUGGUUUCCUAACCUGCGGCCCUGAAUCGGGUCGGGGGACACUGUUAGACGGGCAGUUUGACUGGGGCGGUCGCCUCCAAAAGAGUAACGGAGGCGCUCAAAGGUUCGUUCAGCACGGACGGAAAUCGUGCAUUGAGUGUAAACGCAUAAACGAGCCUAACUGCGAGACCGACGGGUCGAGCAGUAACGAAAGUUGGAGUUAGUGAUCCGGUGGUAUGUGAGUGGAAAUGCCAUCGCUCAACGGAUAAAAGCUACCCUGGGGAUAACAGGCUGAUCUCCCCCAAGAGUCCACAUCGACGGGGAGGUUUGGCACCUCGAUGUCGGCUCAUCGCAUCCUGGGGCUGUAUUCGGUCCCAAGGGUUUGGCUGUUCGCCAAUUAAAGCGGCACGCGAGCUGGGUUCAGAACGUCGUGAGACAGUUCGGUCCCUAUCUGUUGCGGGCGUAAGAGAUUUGAAGGGAGCUGUCCUUAGUACGAGAGGACCGGGAUGGACGUACCUCUGGUGCACCAGUUGUCCUGCCAAGGGCAUAGCUGGGUAGCUAUGUACGGACGAGAUAAACGCUGAAAGCAUCUAAGCGUGAAACUCUCCCUAAGAUGAGAUCUCUCAUCCAUUAUGGAGUAAGGGCCCAGAAAGACGAUCUGGUUGAUAGGCCGGAGGUGGAAGCACGGUAACGUGUGUAGCUGACCGGUACUAAUAGCCCGAGGGCUUGACCUA